UACGUAGGGGGCAAGCGUUGUCCGGAUUUAUUGGGCGUAAAGAGCGUGUAGGCGGUUUGGUAGGUCCGCUGUGAAAACUCGAGGCUCAACCUCGAGACGCCGGUGGAAACCAUCAGACUAGAGUCCGGAAGAGGAGAGUGGAAUUCCUGGUGUAGCGGUGAAAUGCGUAGAGAUCAGGAGGAACACCGGUGGCGAAGGCGGCCCACUGGGCUGUCACUGACGCUGAGGCGCGAAAGCUCGGGGAGCGAACGGG
rnacentral:rRNA from 1 species